GGGCUCGUGGUCUAGCUGGUUAUGACGUCGCCUUGACAUGGCGGAGGUCGGGUGUUCGAAUCUCCCCGGGCCCACCA
rnacentral:tRNA from 1 species